rnacentral:rRNA from 1 species
GCGAAGCUGUUGCUGGCUUCCAAACCGGGAGCACGUGCACGUUCCGUCUACGCAUCCACUCACACCUGUGCACCCUUUGCGGUUCUGUGGUCUGGGGGACCGCGAGGUCUCCCUUCCGUGGUUCUGCGUCUUUACACACACGCCGUAGCAAAGUCUUUUGGAAUGUGCGCCGCGUUUAACGCAAUAAAAUACAACUUUCAGCAACGGAUCUCUUGGCUCUCGCAUCGAUGAAGAACGCAGCGAAAUGCGAUAAGUAAUGUGAAUUGCAGAAUUCAGUGAAUCAUCGAAUCUUUGAACGCACCUUGCGCCCCUUGGCAUUCCGAGGGGCAUGCCUGUUUGAGUAUCAUGAACACCUCAACUCUCUACGGUUUGCCGUGGAGAGCUUGGACUUUGGAGGUUUGCUGGCCCUCGGUCGGCUCCUCUCAAACGAAUCAGCUUCCCAGUGUUUGGUGGCGUCACGGGUGUGAUAACUAUCUACGCUCGCGAUCCGUCCGCCUCGCAACCUUCAGCGAUGGAGGUUCGCUGGAGCUCAAAAACGUCUCUCCUCAGCGAAGACAGCUUUUCUGACGUUCGAUCUCAAAUCAGGUAGGACUACCCGCUGAACUUAA